rnacentral:rRNA from 1 species
AUUGAACGCUGGCGGCAGGCCUAACACAUGCAAGUCGAACGAGUGGCGGACGGGUGAGUAAUGUCUGGGAAACUGCCCGAUGGCGGGGGAUAACUACUGGAAACGGUAGCUAAUACCGCAUACCAUCGGAUGUGCCCAGAUGGGAUUAGCUAGUAGGUGGGGUAACGGCUCACCUAGGCGACGAGCCCUAGCUGGUCUGAGAGUAUGACCAGCCACCCUGGAACUGAUACACGGUCCAGACUCCUACGGGAGGCAGCAGUUGGGAAUAUUGCACAAUGGGCGCAAGCCUGAUGCAGCCAUGCCGCGUGUAUGAAGAAGGCCUGCGGGUUGGAAAGUACUUUCAGCGAGGAGGCGUUACUCGCAGAAGAAGCACUGGCUAACGCAGUGCCAGCAGCAGCGGUAAUAC